rnacentral:rRNA from 1 species
AAAUUGAAGAGUUUGAUCAUGGCUCAGAUUGAACGCUGGCGGCAGGCCUAACACAUGCAAGUCGAACGGUAACAGGAAGCAGCUUGCUGCUUCGCUGACGAGUGGCGGACGGGUGAGUAAUGUCUGGGAAACUGCCUGAUGGAGGGGGAUAACUACUGGAAACGGUAGCUAAUACCGCAUAACGUCGCAAGACCAAAGAGGGGGACCUUCGGGCCUCUUGCCAUCGGAUGUGCCCAGAUGGGAUUAGCUUGUUGGUGGGGUAACGGCUCACCAAGGCGACGAU